rnacentral:rRNA from 1 species
AGUGGCGGACGGGUGAGUAACACGUGUGAAUUUACCUUUAGGAGGGGGACAACAAUUGGAAACGAUUGCUAAUACCCCAUAUGCUCUAGAGUGAAACGGAUUUUUCCGCCUAAAGAAAAGCUCGCGGCUGAUUAGCUUGUUGGUAAGGUAAUGGCUUACCAAGGCGACGAUCAGUAUCUGGUUUGAGAGGACGAUCAGACACACUGGAACUGAGACACGGUCCAGACUCCUACGGGAGGCAGCAGUGGGGAAUUUUCCGCAAUGGGCGAAAGCCUGACGGAGCAAUACCGCGUGAGGGAAGACGGCCUAUGGGUUGUAAACCUCUUUUUUCAGGGAGGAACAAAAUGACGUGUACCUGAAGAAUAAGCAUCGGCUAACUCCGUGCCAGCAGCCGCGGUAAGACGGAGGAUGCAAGUGUUAUCCGGAAUCACUGGGCGUAAAGCGUCUGUAGGUGGUUUGUUAAGUCAACUGUUAAAUCUUGAGGCUCAACUUCAAAUCAGCAGUCGAAACUAUCAGACUAGAGUAUAGUAGGGGUAAAGGGAAUUUCCAGUGGAGCGGUGAAAUGCGUAGAUAUUGGAAAGAACACCGAUGGCGAAGGCACUUUACUGGGCUAUUACUAACACUCAGAGACGAAAGCUAGGGUAGCAAAUGGGAUUAGAUACCCCAGUAGUCCUAGCUGUAAACAAUGGAUACUAGAUGU